UUUGUUUUGUCUACUGCAGCCGGUUUGGACGUAAUUUUUUUUUUCUUUUUUGCCUUACCUGUGUGAAUAAAAAGCUUAAAAUCCCAACUCCUGUCCAUGUAGGGUCACCACCACUACUGCAAGGCCCUGGCCCUGCUGGGGAGGCACGAGCAGGCUCUGGAAGCAAACGAGAGAGCUCAGGAGCUCUGCAGGGACGUCCCCGACGGGCUCAAGGAACUUGUUCAACAGCAUCACAAGCUGAAAAGGACCUUAGAAGAAAUUAAUGGUACUAAACAACGUAAACAGAAGGCAAAGAAGUCUCUGCUUGAGAAAAAAGACUGCAGUUCUUCAAAACCUCACAGAAUAACCUCUCAGGAGCAAAAAGAAUUAGAAAAGAUCAGAAAGAGAACUCAGGCUGAUCCUAAAGGUCCUCAAAAACACGAUCCCAAGAUGACUGACACCCAAAGACCAGAAAGCAAAGUUUCCACGCUGGAGUUGCCACAAAACCAAAGUCAUCAAAACAAACGAAAGCAAAAACCCAAACCUGGUGACUCUGAAAAAAUGAGGUAAAAAAAUACUAUUUAUUUUGAAAUUUAUGAUUACUUUGAGUUAUUUUAUGCAGCACUUAGAAAGGACUUAAUGUCCCUUGGACUUGCUGCUUUUUCUGUGUUUUUUUACAUACUGGUAGCUGGGUGAAGUUCCCAAAAUUCCAGUUUUCACAAAGAACCAGAGUUAUAACUUGAAAAUU
rnacentral:lncRNA from 1 species